rnacentral:piRNA from 1 species
CAAAAACAUUGUUACAAGAUGCCAAC